ACCACUCGGUGCAAGAGGCUGAACGUUGUACAUUGCCCUGGAGCUGCCUCAGACCAAAGCACAAUAUUUUCCGCUUCCAAGAAUCAGUGAAGGGCCACCUAUUAGUGGAAUUUAAAAUAUUUUUCCAAUUAAGUUCCAGACCUACAGAGUCAGUUUUGAAUGUGAGAAGAAAGGGCCAGCAAGUGAACGGAGUUGCUCUAAAAAAGCUGUUUCUUGAGAUGACGGGAGUUCGAUGUUUGCAGAGCCCUCCGCCCUCUUUCUGAAUAAGGAAACACCUGCGUGAAGCGGGGGUGCAAAGCCCUCCCUCCCUCCAGGCACAAUGAGAGAGAAAAUGCUGUGGAUUUUUCAGUGCUGUUAUCCAACGGUCAAAAAGUGGUGGUUGCAGUGAAUAAGACUUGGAGGAAAAUAUGCAUGUAAUCUACUCUCACCAGUGAGACUUUGAAUUCAGAAGGGGAGGGAGCAAAGCAGAAAUCAAGAAACAAAACAUAACUCAGAAUGCUGCAGCCAACUGUCUAUUUUUUCACAAUCUGCCCACUCCUUAAACAAACAUGAAACGUUAUAACUAGCUGUAGUCAGAUACUACGGGAAGCAAAAAGACCAGAAGAAAAACCUCAAACAUCCGGCCUUCAUCUGUCUUCUGCAUGAAAUCUACUUGGCUCCGUGACUAUAAAUGUUUCCCUCUUAAGAAGUGAAAAUCAGACAUGAUGUCAUAGAAUGACCAGGUCCACACUAUAUUUUUCAAAAUUAGUAUUUUUCUGAUGAACACACGACCCACAUAUUGGUAAAACUAUUAUGUUUUAUCAGAGGGGACCAAAACCAGAAAUUCUAUUUGUUUUAAUAUCAAUAAAUAAUCAACAAGAUGUGUAUUGGUUUAAAUGUGUGUAUGUCCUUGUAUCUUUUUUAAAAAAUGCCUGUUAGCUGUAUG